ACAGCCUGUUGAGGAGCAAACAAAAGGCACUGAGACAGUGGUAUAGCCUUAAGCCAAGGUCUUCCGCAUAGAGCUCACCUAUUUCAGCUCAGUCUGCACCCAUUAACGUACCUCAGCCCUCCAUCUGCUGAGCAGUCUAUAUCUUCAGCUCUGCACUGAAGGGAGGACUGUCUUGCAAAUGCUUUUCAUGUGAUGCUCAAGUCCUUUUUAAGACUUAGGGCACACAACUGUUUCAGUGUUAAUUACUGAAGGCAAAAGCAGGAGACUUGCCUCCCUGGACAGAAGUUGUGACACUUUGAAAACAACACUCCAGAGUAAAGAACUGCCAUGACAGCCAUAAGAAGGAAUAAAAUCAAUAAAUAAUAAUAAAAAAAGCCACAACCAAAAACACCACACUGCCCAUCUGCUAUCUUCUCUGCUCAGUGUUUAGCAAGUCCACGUCCUAACUGUCUUGCAUUCCCUGCUUCCAGACAGGGCCACAGUAGAUAAAUAAAUUGUAGGUUUUGAUUUGUGUUUUUAUUUUUUAUUGUUAAAAAAAAAACAACACACACACAAAACAAAAGCACAACAAUGACAACAGAAAACCAACCAUUUUAAGAUCCCAGAAACAGCCCUGCAGUAAUGAAGAGCAGAAAGAGACAUUUUCAUCACUGUAUUAGCACAGCACUCACAAGCGAUCAAUUUUGUAUAACCUAGCUAAAACAAACUUGUAUUUUUGAAGGCCUGUAGGCCUCCCCUUCAGCACCCUUUUGAAUUACAUGCAAGCCAGGACAGACAUUCCUAAACUGCUCGUGCCUGUGUGUCAUAUCUCAGCACACAAGCGUGUGCUUAUGAUAACAAUCUGGGACCCCAAUCUGGGACCCUUGCAAGGGGGAAGUUACGACAACUUUGACCUGCUUAGCUGUAAUCCUCCAUUUUGCAUUACUGCUUACCCACUUCCCUUCUUCUUUCCAGUGCGUGGGUACUCACCAAUGCCAGGACCAUAAGCACAAGGGUGCAGCCCAGCCAGGAGCUUCUGCCAACACAGCACUGAUAUGCAACCCUGUGCAGCAGCAAGGCCAGGCCAGGUAUAUUUGCUUUUCCCUGGGCCUGUGCAGCUUCUGGAACGAUGCUCAUCCUCUGCACACCUCAGUUCAGAAGAUUGGGUUGUUUCAUAUUUGUCCUGCUUUCCUUAGCCUCAUGCUGUUGGCACUUACCUCCAGGAGUCAGAGAUAACUCCCAGAUCCCAGGGAUACCCACAAGCAACCAGCAGCUAUGUGGCAUACUGACUUGUGCCUGGUGGGCCUGAGGAGGUGCUCUGAAAGCCUCCAGAUGCUUGGGAGAGACAGGCAGUGCCCCAGCAUGUCCUAAUUUUGGGUAGCGUAACACCACAAUGGAAUGGAAAGCACAACAUUAACAGUGGGGUGGCUGCAGCAAGCAAGGAGAAGCCCAAAUGCAGAAGCAGGGGACAGAAAAACAAAGGAAAAAAGUUGCUCACCCACAGAAGACCCCAGGUAUCUCCAGAAAUCUCCAGGUAAGCUACCCUUACCUCCACUGCCGAUCCUUAAAUGAGAUCUGAGAAGGGGUGGAGCCAGGAUCCACCCCUUCCAGUCACUCAGCUGCAUUACUUGCACCUGAGCUCCCCUGGGUAGGUCCUGCCUUCCCACCAGGUGCUCAGUCACUGUUUCAAGCCGUGACUUAGCAUUUCUGCUACAGGUAGCAUUGUGUGUUGCAUGCUGAUGUUUAGCAGUCCCAAGACCAGAACCUGAAAUGAGCUUUCACCCUGUCCUGCCUGCGUGCUUUACAUCAGAGCCAUCAGAAAUGGAAUAGGAUGUUUUAAUACCCAUUACAAGAAGUUGAAUGUGUAGCUAAAUAAAUAAAUUCUCACUGAGCUGUUUCCGUCCCCCACUCAGCCACCUCAUCGAUCUUCCAAAAGGAAAGGUCUGACAGAUGCAGACACAAUUUUCCCCACUACCUGUACUUCCUCUUAUGAAGAGUGCAGACCAGAGCCACCAGGCAGGGGCAGACCAGGAACCCACUCAUCCCACUGACCUGUUUCAGCCCACUUAUCUGUGUCUGCUCACUGACCUGUGUUGGCCCACUCAGCCCACUGGCCUGUGGCAGCCAGUCACUGGCAGAAAAUGGUACAAAAGCCGUUCUUGCUCAAGCCAAGGUGUGACACACCCAGCUAAGAUUUGGCAGUCACAAGUUGACAGACUUCUUGACAUCAGCAGCUUAGUCACUACUGAUGUAGCUACCUUUUGUGAGCAGUUCCUGUCCUUUGGGAAUGCACACAUAUCUUUGGCUUCCAUAGCAUCCCAUGGCAGUGAGUUGCAUGGUUUGAUUUCAUACUGUGUGAAAAAGCACUUGUUUCCAUUUGCCUUUCAGGCAAGACCCAUUCUGGGCUGUGAUUCUUGAAGUUCCUCCCACUGUGUGUCUGCAGGCAUUGCGUGCGUGUCUGCUUGUGUUUUUCCUCAACCACAUAUUUGCUUUUUCACACAGUUCAGCUCUUGUGCAGGCAAGACCUCCAAGAGCAGCCAGCAAAACUUUGGGAUUGUGGAUCCUGAAAACGACAAUGCAGUUGACCUGCACUGUGCGGCCGAUGCUGACCCUUUUCCCCAGGCAGAGAAGAUGCUCCAUUCAAACUGCUGCUGUGCUGCAGCUGCCCCCAAAGCAAGUCUAAUUGGAACAGAAAGGCAGCUUAGAGGAAAGGCACUGGUUUUGUACGCUCUGAGAAUCAGAAAGCAAGAAGGCCGUUGGGUCUUUAACCAACAUCUUUAGUCUUUCACAAAUUCUUCAGCAAACCCACAUAGAGGGAAAGACCCUGCCUGGUGGGCCCAGAAACCUUUGCCCCUCUGGGGGCAGCACAUCAGACAGUGCAUCUGCACACUUCUUCAGCUGGCAGUUUUGCAGAAAGCUCUCAGGCAAACUGUCAGGCAUUUAUAUUAGCUUGAACAUUCAGAAAUUUCGAAAAACUGAAUCUCCAAGGGGCUGAGCACUCCCCGUUGGUCUUUACCCCAGUUGAUUUUACUGGUGAGAGAUCUUAAUCUUUCAAAGAUUUUCAUAGCAAAUGUCCUGUGCAACGCAUGAAUACUGGAAUGAAUACUUUAAGCUAAACCAGCCGCUCUGCACCGCUCCGGCAAAGCAAAGCUGCUGCUGACUGUGUUCAGUUAGCUGUUGUCACAGUGACCUCCUAACAGGUCACGUUCAGUUACUCAUCCCAGAUGUGGUGGGAGAGCAGAGAACUCCUUUGUAUUCUGAAGAAAACCUGCCUCCCACUUCAUUUGGCUGCUGAUCCAUUCAGUCUCAUUUCCUCCUACACACUACACAGUGUGCCACAGCAAUGAGAGGGGAGGAUUAUUCCUAGUUUACAUUGAUGUCAUGGCAGGCCUGAGACAGGGAGAGGGUUGGAAGAGGUUUCCUAAAUGUUUGGCUCUGCUUCCUUUUGCAGUGUAACGGCAGUGUGAGCUGUGCUCCCCACCUCUGCGUGCCUCUGUCUUCACAGCCAUACUCCUGCUAACAGAUCAGUAACUGCCUUUAAAGAAUAAAUCCUUGAAAUCAUGUGGUUCAGGCUGUGAAAACCAGAGACCUUCCUGCAUCUGCAAGCAUUCCAUACCCUCCUUCCAUGCCAUGAAAGCAUCGAGAAUGGCACAGGAGGUCAUGCUGUAACUGAGUCACUGCUCUGUCAUAAACCUGGCUUUAAUGGGAAAGGAAAUCCACCGAUGACAAAAACUUCCAUGAUCUGUGAUUAGUGACUGAGAAGGAGAAGGAGAAUCUGAAAUGCUCUGAUGAAGGGGCCCAGAGCAGCACGAGGGCCACGACAGCCAACCAGUCCUUCUCCCUUUGUUCCUGCUCUCCCCAGCCCUGUCUGGGAACUUCUUGAGAUAAAAAUCUGCCACUCUCUGAGUCACGCGGGCCCUGAGCUGGGACAAGCCCACCGCCUGGGUAUGUCCAGUCUGCUUUGCUUAUAAGAUGAGUAAGACCGCAACUCCUCUCACUGCAACUUAGUUAGUACAUGUCUAACCUCAGCACUAGCCAGGCCACCUCUGAGCGCGGGGCUGAAAAGUACUUGGGAGAUGAUGGCGUUGACUGAAUAGCUUCUUGACAUCUCCCCCUUUGUUGCAAAGUCCUCCACAUGGGCGUUUCAUGGGGAGGAAAGGGUGGAGGGCAUGCUUAUGUGUUGCUGGCAUGCACUGGGAGGGACACUGGUGGUGGGGACGGAAGGACAUUUCUGACUUGGGGAAAGGAGUAAAGGGAAGUCUGUCUGAGCCUUCCCCUUCUCCAUUCCCAGUACUGGGAGCGGGUGACCCAGCCAGAGGAAAAGGCAGGGGAAACACUGAAUCUGGAUGCCCGCAGAAGAUUUGCAUGUUUUAGUUCCUUUUGAGAUCAAAUUCCUGCAACUGACUGAGCACUCUUAUGAUUCCCAAGUUCCAGCAGAAACUAGAUGUGGCAGUUGUGUAAGACAGGCCUUUGGGGGGGAUCUGUAGCACACAAAGACAAAAAUAAACUUGCUAAUUUUUUUCCCCAGA